AUAUAUAUAUAUAUAUAUUUGGUGCAAAAUGGUGCUGCCAGCAAGAUUGAGAGAAAACAAAAAUUGAAAUGGUAAAUAGUGUGUUUGGCGGGUCGAGAUAUUUAGUGGGAAUGGAUUUAUUUUAUGCAAUUGUAUUUAUAUAUAUUAUAUAUGAUAUACAUAGCAUUUGAAAUGAUACAAUGGAGCAGGUGGGCUGCCGACAAAAGUAAGGAAAAUGGAUCAGGUCGGCUAAGUGAAAAGAGAUAAGAAAAUAAAGAAAAUGGUGGCAGCAAGGUACCAGCCGUGGGAAAUGAGAAAAGAGAAGAAAAUGGAAAUGGUUAUUUCGCGGGGCCCACCUAAUGAUGUUAGUGGGCUUUGAUUUUUGUUGCAACUUGGACAUGGUUGUUAGAAGCAGAUAAAAUAACCUGAUAAGGUGAUAAGAAAUGUUGGGGAAGGAAAUAAGUGUCUGCCGAGAUGGAAGUGAUUAGGUGGCGGGGCCCAGUUGGUGAUAUGUUUGCAAAUUGCAAUGAGAUAUUAUUGUAUAGUGUCGGUGCAUUGCCUAUAUAUAUUGUUGUAUCAAUUUUGUGCUUUGGAAAAUGAUAAGGAAAUAAAUUAGACACAGAGGAGAAAUAUUUGAGAAAUACAGAGAGAGUUUGAGGUCAGCCGAGAGUCUGUGCGGUGGGCCGGACUUAUGCCUUGAUGAUCCGAUGAGGAGAAAAUUAUUUUGCAGAGUGGGCUGCUGACAAAAGCAAGGAAAAUGGAUUAGGUCGGCUAAGUGAAAAGAGAUAAGAAAAUAAAGAAAAUGGUGGCAGCAAGGUACCAGCCGUGGGAAAUGAGAAAAGAGAAGCAAAUGGAAAUGGUUAUUUCGUGGGGCCCACCUAAUGAUGUUAAUGGGCUUUGAUUUUUGUUGGAACUUGGAGAUGGUUGUUAGAAGCAGAUGAAACAACCUGAUAAGGUGAUAAGAAAUGUUGGGGAAGGAAAUAAGUGUCUGUCGAGAUGGAAGUGAUUAGGUGGCGGGGCCCAGUUGGUGAUAUGUUUGCAAAUUGCAGUGAGAUAUUAUUGUAUAGUGUCGGUGCAUUGCCUAUAUAUAUUGUUGUAUCAGUUUGUGCUUUGGAAAAUGAUAAGGAAAUAAAUUAGACAUAGAAGAGAAAUAUUUGAGAAAUACAAAGAGAGUUUGAGGUCAGCCGAGAGUCUAUGCAGUGGGCUGGACUUAUGCCUUGAUGAUCCGACGAGGAGAAAAUUAUUUUGCAGAGUAGGGUUCUUUAUACCUUGAAUUGUUUGGGUGAUUUUAUCUCAAAUAUUUUGUUAAUGCUGUUUUGUUAAAUUGCAUAUAUAUAUUUUUUGUUCAAAAAUAUAUUUAUAUUUUGUGAAGCUAAUUUUCAUAAAAUUCCUUGAGAUUCUUGUUAUGGUUUUUCCUACUGGGACUUUUCCCGUCUCAUCCCCUUACAGUUUCAUGUAUCGAGGAUAAGCUUGGAUUGCUAGUUGCGGGCUUAGGUGGAAGAGUUGGUGUCGAGGAAUUAAAUUAAUUUAAUUAUUUAGAGAUGUUGUAUUUUAAUAUUGAGAAAAUUGAUUGUUGUAUCAAUAAAGAGAAUUUUAUAUUGAAGUAUUUUGAUUUAAUGAAAUCGAGGAUUUUAUUUAGAAAAAAUUCGGGGCAUGACAUCCGUACCCAGUGUAAUACCCAUAGUUUUCAAAAGGAUAUAAUUGAAAUUUAAAUUUUUAUUUCUUGUGCA